rnacentral:misc_RNA from 1 species
UUUUUUUUUUUUUUUUUUGUAGUUGUAAACAUUUUACACCUAAAACAAAAGAAUUUCAGCUUAAAAGAAUUUCUUUUAAACGAAAAAUUGAUAUCUUCUCCUCGUUUCCUCAGGUUCCUUUGAAGCCAACCAAAUACAAGUAGAUAUAAACUCAGGAACAAUUAACUAGUUAAAAAAACAAGAACCCAAUUCAGGAGCCAUAGCUUAGGUGACAUUUUCAAUUCUCUAAAACUUAUAUAACAAACCCAUGAGAUUAAAAGUGGAUUCUACGUUCUAUAAACAUAAAGUUAGCGAUUAAAAGUGGAUUCUACGUUCUAUAAACAUAAAGUUAGCGAUUAAAAGUGGAUUCUACGUUCUAUAAACAUAAAGUUAGC